GUAGUCUCGCACAGAUGCAUAUCAAUAAGCGGAGGAAAAGAAACUAACAAGGAUUCCCCUAGUAACGGCGAGUGAAGCGGGAAGAGCUCAAAUUUGAAAUCUUAAAGGGUUUCCCUUUACGAAUUGUAGUUUAAAGAAGUGUUUUCUGUUGAGGUUUUGGUAAAAGUUCUUUGGAAUAGGACAUCAUAGAGGGUGAGAAUCCCGUAUUUGACCUUUACUUUCAACUUUGUGAUACACUUUCAAAGAGUCGGAUUGUUUGGGAAUGCAGUCCAAAAUGGGUGGUAAAUUUCAUCUAAAGCUAAAUAUUGGCGAGAGACCGAUAGCGAACAAGUACCGUGAGGGAAAGAUGAAAAGAACUUUGAAAAGAGAGUUAAACAGUACGUGAAAUUGUCAAAAGGGAAGCGUUUGACACCAGUGUUGUUUUUCUGAAAAUCAAUUAAAGAACUGUUUAUGCUAAGUUGUUUAGACUUUAUCAGCUAACUGUUUAGUUUUGAGCUUUUCUUUAAUGCACUUUUCAGUUAACAAGUCAACAUCAAUUUCUUUUGCUGUAAAAAAGCUUGAGGAAGGUGGCUUGAGAUUCGUCUUAAGUGUUUAUAGCCUCUUGCCUAUGCAGUCGGAGAGAUUGAGGUCUGCAGCGUAGAUCCUUCGGGGCUAAAUGCAUUUGUGCUAAGUUAUAGCAUUUUAUAGACAACUUGUUGACUAUGAUUUGUCUUGUAGCUUACUCGCUUAUGUUAUUUUACCUACGCUUAGGAUGUUGAUCUGUAGUGCGUGCGCC
rnacentral:rRNA from 1 species